GCUAGCUACAGGCUUAACACAUGCAAGUCGAGGGGUAGCAGGGUAGCAAUACCGCUGACGACCGGCGCACGGGUGAGUAACACGUAUCCAACCUUCCCAUAACUCGGGGAUAGCCUUUCGAAAGAAAGAUUAAUACCCGAUAGUACUUUUUCAAGGCAUCUUGAGAAAGUUAAAGAUUUAUUGGUUAUGGAUGGGGAUGCGUUCCAUUAGAUAGUUGGUGAGGUAACGGCUCACCAAGUCUUCGAUGGAUAGGGGUUCUGAGAGGAAGGUCCCCCACAUUGGUACUGAGACACGGACCAAACUCCUACGGGAGGCAGCAGUGAGGAAUAUUGGUCAAUGGGCGAGAGCCUGAACCAGCCAAGUAGCGUGAAGGAUGAAGGUCCUAUGGAUUGUAAACCUCUUUUAUAGCAGAAUAAAGUGACCCACGUGUGGGUUUUUGUAUGUAUACUAUGAAUAAGGAUCGGCUAACUCCGUGCCAGCAGCCGCGGUAAUACAGAGGAUCC
rnacentral:rRNA from 1 species